rnacentral:lncRNA from 1 species
CAUGACCCCCUUCAUAUCAGUUCACAAGGACACAUCGAGCACAAGUGUGUGAAUGAGACUGUGAGGUAGAUGAAUGGAAAUCCAGAAUCUGUAGAUAGAUCCAAGGGAUGAGAUAUAUUUUGUGUAAGAUCUAAAGAGUCCUGACAUCUGGGUUUCAUUCCGAGAGAAAUGGGUGUGGAGUGCUGCGAUGUAUUUUAUUGUCUUUGGCAAGGACAGCACAUAAGCAGAAACAGCACACCAAGGUGUUUAGCUACCAGUUUCCAGUAUUAAAUUUUUGUAAUAUAAAUGACAAAGGAGAUGAUAAAGAACCAAUAGAUUAUUGAUAAAUAAAAAAUUAGUAAUAAUAUGAAUUUUUGUUUCUAUGAGUUCUAAAUAGCCCUAUACAGUAUUCAUUUUCAAUGAGGAAUAUUUAUUGUAUUAAAGUGCAUUUUACUUAACGGUUUAGAUCAUCAUUUUGGACUAUUUCUCGAUGCUUUAAUAUAUAUUAAUUUAUAAUUAUCCUGAUAUUUUUGUACAUUUUCAAACUUUAAAAAAAAUCAGGAUUUUUUUUUUGGCAAUAGUACUAACAUAGGAUGCUAUUUUGUUAUCUCGGGAUAACUAUAUGUUGUUCUGUUGGCUGACCUUGACAUCUGACCACCGAUGUCACGGAACUGUGGCCUCCUUCAGGACACUUGCAGAACGCUUGCAAAGUCUCAGAGUAGAAACAGCAAGUGUAUCCAUCUGCCACACGUCCUCACAGGAAGAAUGAACUUAUCUGUAGCAGUGCCCAGUAAGAAGUAGAUGUUUGACAAAUUAAUUAAUACAACAUUUCCCUGUCAUGCCUUGGGGGAGGGUGGGAGAAGAAAGACUGUUAUGUCAAAAAUUGUAAUUUCUCUCCAAACAAUAAAACUCCUUUAUUACCUUACUGCUCCCACGUUAACCUGUUUGCUGCUAAAUUCCAAUGUAGAGUUGGUAAUGACAUAGUGGACUGUGCUCUUCUUUCAUUAAAAUCCCAGGGUCCCCUGUGAAGAAGCAGAUGUUUCUUUAAAAAGGAAAAACACCUUUAACAAUGAAAAUUAGAUGUACGUGUAUAAUUCGGUCUGCUUUGUCUUUCUCCAGACGAAUAUCAGUUACACUGCUGUUUGUAAAUUAAACGAUGUCUACUUCAUUAACAGUAUGGCCGCCUUCUUAGCAACUGCAGGUGUCCCUUUAUGAACUUGAAACUGAUAUGAAAUGAGCAGCAAAGGCAACUUAUGCCUUUAUGUUACCAGAAACUGCACUGAAAUUAAUAUAUUGUCACAUCUAGAGGACUCACAAAAGAGAUAGAUAGAAUAACGUAUUCUUUGCUAGGAUAAAUCCAUAUUACAUAAAAUUAUCCCACUAAAAAAGAAGAAGAUGAAAUAGAGCUAACACAGAGAAUCUUCUUUGAGUCUCACUGCCUUAGCUGGAACUUGCUUGCAAUCCAGAACUGGCAACAUUCAGAUCAAGGAAGUGCCAUCGGACAGAGUAUUAAUACUUGGCUUCCACUAUAUGAGUGAUUGUUCUUUUCUUAAUAAGACAAUUGUGCAUACACACAUACUCAUACACCGAUAUACACACUACCUACCAGGUAGGAACGUCCAAUCAUUUAUUCAUUCUUGUUUAAAAUUGCUUCAGUUGUGUGAUAUGAAUAUUAAAUAACCUUGAU